rnacentral:tRNA from 1 species
AAAGGGAGACCUAAUUCGGGUAUGGGAUGAAAAAAAAGUAGUCCCAACCAAGAAUCAAUCCCAAAAGGUCGGAGCGAGGCGAAAUUGGCUUUCAAACUAGGUUCUGGGUUCACAGAAGACCUGAAUCAGGAACAAGGGCUAUUAGCUCAGGUGGUUAGAGCGCACCCCUGAUAAGGGUGAGGUCCCUGGUUCGAGUCCAGGAUGGCCCACCUGCACAGGUGGUAAAAACAAGAGAAGCGAGGAAUCAGCACCUUAUCUUACUCAUAUAGUAAGAGAGAAUGCUGGCUCUGAGUAAAGAGUCCAGAGGAACCUUGAAAACUGCAUAGAGCUAGGUGAAAAAGCCAAAAAAGAAGACCGCAAG